UGCUUCUCUGAAUGCGCAUGGUAAAGAGUUCCAGAAGGUAGGGGCAGCAUGGCUGAAUGCCCUGGAACCUAAGUCUGUCUUUAUUCUUGGCACUGACAGGAGGGUUUUGCUGGCUGACCGAAGUGAACGGGAUGGAAUGUAGGGUGUCAGGAGCUCUUUCAGGUACUGUGGGCCUUGAUUGUUUAAGGCUUUAAAGGUCAGCAGGCCAAUUAUAAAAUAUGUUCGCCAUUUAAUUGGAAGCCAAUGUAGGGAGUGGAGAACAGGUGUUAUGUGGCAGGAGUGAGUUUGAU